CCUACGGGAGGCAGCAGUAGGGAAUAUUGGUCAAUGGGUGAGAGCCUGAACCAGCCAUGCCGCGUGCAGGAAGAAGGCCUUCUGGGUUGUAAACUGCUUUUGCCAGGGGAUAAAAAUACCUUGCGAGGUAAAUUGAAGGUACCUGGUGAAUAAGCCACGGCUAACUACGUGCCAGCAGCCGCGGUAAUACGUAGGUGGCAAGCGUUGUCCGGAUUUAUUGGGUUUAAAGGGUGCGUAGGCGGCCCUGUAAGUCAGUGCUGAAAUAUCCCAGCUUAACUGGGAGGGUGGCAUUGAUACUGCGGGGCUAGAGUACAGAUGAGGUAGGCGGAAUUGACGGUGUAGCGGUGAAAUGCUUAGAUAUCGUCAAGAACACCUAUAGCGAAGGCAGCUUACUAGGCUGUAACUGACGCUGAGGCACGAAAGUGUGGGGAUCAAACAGGAUUAGAUACCCUGGUAGUCCACACUGUAAACGUUGAUUACUCGCUGUGUGCGAUAUACAGUACGCGGCCAAGCGAAAGCGCUAAGUAAUCCACCUGGGGAGUACGCCGGCAACGGUGAAACUCAAAGGAAUUGACGG
rnacentral:rRNA from 1 species